GACGAACGCUGGCGGCAUGCCUUACACAUGCAAGUCGAACGGCAGCACGGGGGCAACCCUGGUGGCGAGUGGCGAACGGGUGAGUAACAUAUCGGAACAUACCCUAGAGUGGGGGAUAACGUAGCGAAAGUUACGCUAAUACCGCAUACGAUCUAAGGAUGAAAGUGGGGAUCUUCGGACCUCAUGCUCAUGGAGUGGCCGAUAUCUGAUUAGCUAGUUGGUGAGGUAAAGGCUCACCAAGGCGACGAUCAGUAGCUGGUUUGAGAGAACGACCAGCCACACUGGAACUGAGACACGGUCCAGACUCCUACGGGAGGCAGCAGUGGGGAAUUUUGGACAAUGGGGGGCAACCCUGAUCCAGCAAUGCCGCGUGAGUGAAGAAGGCCUU
rnacentral:rRNA from 1 species